UGCCAGCCGCCGCGGUAAUACGAAAGGGGCUAGCGUUGUUCGGAAUUACUGGGCGUAAAGGGCGCGCAGGCGGUCUUGUCAGUCAGGUGUGAAAGCCCGGGGCUCAACCCCGGACGUGCAUUUGAAACAGCAAGACUUGAGUACGGGAGAGGAGAGAGGAAUUCCUGGUGUAGAGGUGAAAUUCGUAGAUAUCAGGAGGAACACCGAUGGCGAAGGCAUCUCUCUGGGCCGAUAUUGACGCUGAGGCGCGAAGGCGUGGGUAGCGAACGGGAUUAGAUA
rnacentral:rRNA from 1 species